CUGAAGUGAGGACUUACAAGAUAAUCCAACUCUGAAGCCGAUGUGUUGAACCAAAUCAAGAGCUUUUUAACCCUGAUCAGU
rfam:Pythium ultimum DAOM BR144 ctg_1117875581176, whole genome shotgun sequence.